rnacentral:rRNA from 1 species
GAGUUUGAUCCUGGCUCAGGACGAACGCUGGCGGCUUGCUUAACACAUGCAAGUCGAACGAUGAAGCCCAGCUUGCUGGGUGGAUUAGUGGCGAACGGGUGAGUAACACGUGAGUAACCUGCCCCUGACUUCGGGAUAACUCCGAGAAAUCGGUGCUAAUACCGGAUAUGCACAUGUGCCUGCAUGGGUGUGUGUGGAAAGAUUUAUCGGUUGGGGAUGGGCUCGCGGCCUAUCAGCUUGUUGGUGGGGUGAUGGCCUACCAAGGCGACGACGGGUAGCCGGCCUGAGAGGGUGACCGGCCACACUGGGACUGAGACACGGCCCAGACUCCUACGGGAGGCAGCAGUGGGGAAUAUUGCAUAAUGGGCGCAAGCCUGAUGCAGCGACGCCGCGUGAGGGAUGACGGCCUUCGGGUUGUAAACCUCUUUCAGUAGGGAAGAAGCCUUCGGGUGACGGUACCUGCAGAAGAAGCGCCGGCUAACUACGUGCCAGCAGCCGCGGUAAUACGUAGGGCGCAAGCGUUGUCCGGAAUUAUUGGGCGUAAAGAGCUCGUAGGCGGUUUGUCGCGUCUGCUGUGAAAACGCAAGGCUUAACCUUGCGCCUGCAGUGGGUACGGGCAGACUAGAGUGCGGUAGGGGAGACUGGAAUUCCUGGUGUAGCGGUGGAAUGCGCAGAUAUCAGGAGGAACACCGAUGGCGAAGGCAGGUCUCUGGGCCGUUACUGACGCUGAGGAGCGAAAGCAUGGGGAGCGAACAGGAUUAGAUACCCUGGUAGUCCAUGCCGUAAACGUUGGGCACUAGGUGUGGGAUCCAUUCCACGGGUUCCGUGCCGCAGCUAACGCAUUAAGUGCCCCGCCUGGGGAGUACGGCCGCAAGGCUAAAACUCAAAGGAAUUGACGGGGGCCCGCACAAGCGGCGGAGCAUGCGGAUUAAUUCGAUGCAACGCGAAGAACCUUACCAAGGCUUGACAUACACCGGAAAAGUGCAGAGAUGUGCUCCCCGUAAGGUCGGUGUACAGGUGGUGCAUGGUUGUCGUCAGCUCGUGUCGUGAGAUGUUGGGUUAAGUCCCGCAACGAGCGCAACCCUUGUCCUGUGUUGCCAGCACGUGAUGGUGGGGACUCAUAGGAGACUGCCGGGGUCAACUCGGAGGAAGGUGGGGAUGACGUCAAAUCAUCAUGCCCCUUAUGUCUUGGGCUUCACGCAUGCUACAAUGGCCGGUACAAAGGGCUGCGAUACCGCGAGGUGGAGCGAAUCCCAAAAAGCCGGUCUCAGUUCGGAUUGGGGUCUGCAACUCGACCCCAUGAAGUCGGAGUCGCUAGUAAUCGCAGAUCAGCAACGCUGCGGUGAAUACGUUCUCGGGCCUGUACACACCGCCCGUC